rnacentral:tRNA from 1 species
GCCAGCGCAGCACGACAGGUGGUGCACCGGAUUCGUAACCCGGAGGUAGGGCGUUCGAGCCGCCCCGCUGGCUC